CGGAGUUGAGAGAGCUUGCUUUUUCAGCUUAGUGGCGAACGGGUGAGUAACACGUGAGUAACCUGCCCCAGAGUGGGGGACAACAGUUGGAAACGACUGCUAAUACCGCAUAAGCCCACGGUACCGCAUGGUACAGAGGGAAAAGGAGCAAUUCGCUUUGGGAUGGACUCGCGUCCGAUUAGCUAGAUGGUGAGGUAACGGCCCACCAUGGCGACGAUCGGUAGCCGGACUGAGAGGUUGAUCGGCCACAUUGGGACUGAGACACGGCCCAGACUCCUACGGGAGGCAGCAGUGGGGAAUAUUGCACAAUGGGGGAAACCCUGAUGCAGCGACGCCGCGUGGAGGAAGAAGGUCUUCGGAUUGUAAACUCCUGUUGUCGGGGACGAUAAUGACGGUACCCGACAAGAAAGUGACGGCUAACUACGUGCCAGCAGCCGCGGUAAAACGUAGGUCACAAGCGUUGUCCGG
rnacentral:rRNA from 1 species